UUAAUCAGCGCUUGAUAUGUAUUUUAGCUGCGGAAAUCGUUAGAAGUUUUUUUCCAUGCCUAUUCUUGGUUUAAGUCAGCUAGUGGGAGAGACAUGAAGUAAACGUGCCAAAUGCGUCUCUGGUGUGAAGCCUGAACACCUUCACAGUAUUAUUCGAGCCUUCCUUUUCCCCUCUUAGAAAUGUGCAGAGCUGAGUUGUAAAGAGCUUUGCGCUCCUGGUGCGAGGGGGGAAUCCAAAGUGAUGCAUGUCAAUUUCUCCAGGCAUCUGGUCACAUGACUGACUUGUUCCUGCGAUGUAUGGAGAUACAUUUCCACGUCAGCUUACGUUUCCAAAUUUUUACUCCGCGGAUCAGCUUCAAAGAGGCAGCAGCAUCUAAGGACCAUGUUUAGCUGUGCGAAUGCGAGCUAUUCUUGCGCUAGGGGACCCCAAGAAAGCGAUGAUGGAUUUUGAUGAGCGGGUUUCUUGUGGCUCUAAUCUUUAUUUGCCUAGUUGUACCUAUUAUGUCUCGGGUCCGGAUUUCUCCAGCCUGCCUUCUUUUCUGCCCCAAACACCGGCUUCUCGUCCCAUGACAUACUCUUACUCGUCUAAUAUCCCCCAGGUUCAACCUGUGCGAGAAGUUACCUUCAGAGACUAUGCCAUCGAUCCCUCCAAUAAGUGGCAUCACAGAAGCAAUCUCCCCCAUUGCUAUUCCGCAGAGGAGCUGAUGCACAGGGAGUGUCUUCCUACCAGCACCAUGGGCGAGAUGUUAAUGAAAAAUAGCGCCAGCGUUUACCACCCCAGUUCCAACGCGUCUUCCAGCUUCUACAACCCGGUGGGGAGGAACGGUGUGCUGCCGCAGGGAUUUGAUCAGUUCUUCGAGACCGCUUACGGUCCUGGUGAGAAUCAGCAGUCGGAGUAUUGCGGGGAGAAGAGCCCAGGUAAAGUGCCGUCUGCAGCAACUUCAAGUUCGGAGACUUCCAGGGUGUCGGUGGAGAAGGAGACGAGUCCCGGGAGCAGCAGCCCGGAAUCUUCUUCCGGCAACAACGAGGAAAAAAGCAGUAACUCUAGUGGUCAGCGUACACGUAAAAAAAGAUGCCCCUAUACCAAGUACCAGAUCAGGGAGCUGGAGAGAGAAUUCUUUUUCAGUGUCUACAUUAAUAAGGAGAAGCGCCUACAACUUUCCCGGAUGCUCAACUUAACCGACCGGCAAGUUAAAAUUUGGUUUCAGAACAGGAGGAUGAAGGAAAAGAAAUUAAACAGAGACCGCCUUCAAUAUUACACUACGAAUCCAUUGCUCUGAGAUUAGACUGAGUUUACAAAGAGGCAUUCCAUCUUCCUAACUUCUACGAUGAAAUCGGCCAGGCCAGAACGCAGAGAUAUCGUUUUGCGUUCGCUCAGUGUUUCUGCUCAACUACACCAGAGAGCGAUGACCAUGAAUUCUUCCAACUGGACACACACAGUCCACAUGGUGGCGCCAUUUAGAUCAAUGUCAAAGCCGCUUUGGCGACCGCAAAAAAAUAAGGAAAAAUACUUUGUCGAUGUUCCAAAGUACAAGUUUAAAGGGAGGUAUGUGAAUCUUUUGAAGCCAAAUGGAAAACCGCACCUCUCUAUUUGACAAAUUAAAUCUAAUCCAAAUUGAAUAUCCAAUAAAGCUCAGAAAUAACCACUUUUUUGCUAACAGAAGAAAGGUGAUCGGGUUCAUGCAGAUACAACAUGGAUUCUUCAACCUAGAAAUGCUAUCACACAAUAAUCACCGAGGAAUUCAACAGCUUAGGGUACAAUUCAUGUAAACUUUGAAUUCGGAUGGAAUGAAUUGUUUUAAAUUGUUCUUAUUUCAUUAAAAAUGUCAAGGAAAGGGAACGUAUACGACAGAUUUUAAUUGACUUCUAAAAUAGAUUAGAAAAUACAAUAAAUUUGCCUCAAAUAAAUCUCAAGAAUGUUAUACGAUAAUAACAAUACAAAAUGUAUAUUGUCGAAUUUAGUAGUUAGGAAGGAAAUGUUUGUUUUUCUGCAGCGGUUUCGCCUAUUCGUUCUUUUGUUUUUCCUUCCGUUUUUGCACGAUAUUGUAUGAUUUUUAUUGUCAACUUAACACUAACAUUGGACAUCAAGCGAUGUAAUAUUUAGUUUGGUUAUUUUCUCCAACAACCAGGGCGUAAUAUUCUGAGAAAUAUUUUCGCGAAACGACUAUAUGUAUUUUUCAAAACGGUUACUGGGUGUAAAUGUGCCCAACCGCUGAACUUUGCGUUUAAGAUUCAGAGCAUUUCCGACCCUUUUCUGUUUUCUGAUUUUGUUCAAUUCCCAUUCAUUAUUUUAUUUAAAACAUGAAAGAAUAAGUAUAUAUUUCUUCUUCAGAAGUAUAACAAUAAUAUUAGCGCAGUUUCGUGUCUUCCUAAAUAUUAUCGUAUGUUAAAACAUCAACCGAAAAUCGUGUAACUGAGCUAGAUUUCCUCGUUUGCCCGCAUUUAUAUAUAUAAUGGGAAACAUUAUGAAGCAUUAGUUGCAUAUUUUUCCAAAGUAUAUUCGAUUAUUUAUUUCUCGCUCUGCUUCGUUUUAACGGUUAACGUAGAAAUUAGAUUAAUCUACUCCUGCGAACUAUUUCUCUUAUUUGUUGAUAUCCAUUGACCAUAUUGUGUUUUUAACAUGGACGACUAAUCUACAACUGGAUGCAAAGAAACGCGAAAUUUGCCAAAAUUUAAUAUCAAUUCGGAGCAUAUUAAGUGCAAGAUUUUGUACAUUUUGAAGUAAAUUUCAUGUGCUGACCGUCUCCUGCGGGGAAUCUAAGAUUAAUUUUGUCUUGUACAGCGUUAUGUUCCGUAGCGAUGCCCUGUGUUAACUCGUCUGACUAAACAAUGUAUAAGCAUGAUAUAUCUAACAAAUAUUAUUGCGUUAAAUUGUGGUGGAUGCGGGUACUGUAGUUCAGUUCAUUGCUUGCUUGCCUGUGUAUAUGUAACUUUAUGCGACUGUGCUAAGCUAGUAAAGGAUUUCGUUAAAACGUCAAUAUUAAUUAAUUAUUGGCUAUGGAAUCUUUCAGCUAAAUUGCGAAAAAUUACCUACUUUCUAUAAUUGAACAAUACUUCCAAUCUAUCCUGUGUCAUUCAUUGUAUUCCUUUGUUUCAGACAAUGUAAAAAAAUUGUAACUUCCAGCCAUUAUCUUCAUACCUUUUAAUGAUGUGUUAUCAAGAGUGUCAUGAAUUGCAUUCCUAUCAGGACUCAAUACAACUUCAAUAUUUAAAGCAUGUUAUUUGGAAGCUGAGGCAAUCUGAAGCCACAGCGCCCUCUGGGUCUAGGACUAGCACUUGCACACUGCACAAUAUUCAUUCAUCCUGUUUUUGGUUGUUGGAUUAAGUAUGUUCCAAUGUUUCAGUACUAAAUAUAUUUAAUAACCAGAACCGAUAACAAACCAACUAAAAAUAGAACUUAGUUUCGAAGGGGAAUUUAAAUUUUCGUGCUUGCUGCAUUGAAAUGUGCAAAAUAUCAUUAGUAGUUUGUUUGUUAAAGGCCAUAUCAUCAAAGGAAACCAUUUCAACAACUGUUCUUUCCUCUUGUCAGGGAGAUCAGGUUUUCCACUCCAGAAACCACUGCGCCUAGAUUUUAAAAUUAUUGCUAUUCCUGUCUUUCAAGUGUAAGAAAACAUUAACUCGUUGAUUAGAUAUCUCGAUCAAUUGAUAGAUAUCUAACUGAAUGAAUAUCGAAAAUAAGCAGUGGAAAGAAUAGGCACUUAGUGCGCAAGAUUUCCAAAAAUGUGAAAUAUUGAAGGAUAAAUUUAAAAAGUAGGAUGGCUAAAGAAGAAAUUCAUCUUCCUAACUUUCCGGAAAUAAAACUGUUUAGACAACCCGAAGUUGAUAUAAUUGAUUUAAAAAUCAGUUUAUCAUGUUCUAUCUCUAACAAAAACACUUUUCAAAAAUAAUUUAUUGUACAUAUUCAGCUGCGUGCUUGGACUAUUAAUAUCUAUUUUACAAGUCACUAUUUACAAAUCGCUUUGCAUCAAAACUUUCGUUGCUUGCCCAGUGAGUUCCUGAAAGCGGGACGUCAAUGUGCUGUAAAGCAUUUUGCUAAAGCAGAGUCUACCGCAAAAAAUUAGUAAAUAUGAUUGAACUGGUUACAGUCUGUUUUUAUUUGAAUAGAUGGGGGUGGGGGUUUAAUAAUGAAAUUUAACUAUUUGUUCCGGGACGUACAAACUGUACGUUAAACAGAUCUGGUAUGUGCACGCUUCAUAGUUGAAUUUUGCCUUAAUAUGAACAUAAUGCUGGAUUAUGGAAUGGCUUAAAAUUGAACAUUAAUACCACAAAUCCUUCAUUGUUUAGAAGUAUCAAAUUAUUGAAUGAAACAUUCUGGACAGAGUAGAUCACUGAUGUAAAGAAUUUGCUGUAAUUGUACAUUUUCCGCCAACUCUAUUUUCAACGUGGGCCAUAACAUGGAUCUUUUUAGUUUGCGACUCGACCCCUGCUGUGUCACCUUCACCGUGGCCGGUGCAACUGAAUUGCCGUUUUUUUUGUUAUAAAGCCAGUGAGCUACUCUGUCAGCGUGUAAAAAAAACUUCUCAGUCAUUUACCAUAAAGAAUAUGGUUAACAAAAUGAAAAUCCAUAGCUCAGAUUAUUCCAAAUUCAGUACUUCAC